UACGUAGGGUGCAAGCGUUAAUCGGAAUUACUGGGCGUAAAGCGUGCGCAGGCGGUUAUGCAAGACAGAUGUGAAAUCCCCGGGCUCAACCUGGGAACUGCAUUUGUGACUGCAUGGCUAGAGUGCGGCAGAGGGGGAUGGAAUUCCGCGUGUAGCAGUGAAAUGCGUAGAUAUGCGGAGGAACACCGAUGGCGAAGGCAAUCCCCUGGGCCUGCACUGACGCUCAUACACGAAAGCGUGGGGAGCAAACAGG
rnacentral:rRNA from 1 species